rnacentral:lncRNA from 1 species
CCUCGUGAUCUGCCCGCCUCGGCCUCCCACAGUGCUAGAAUUACAGGCAUGAGCCACCACACCCAGCCGAGGGCAGGAAUUUUAUGCAUUUUGCUCAUGGCUUGAUUCCUAGGGCUUAGUGUAUUCUCAAUGAAUAUUGAUUGAAUUAAUGUAUAAAUCAAUAUUCUACAACCAAAUUCCCUAAUAUUCUUAGGGAAUUUACCCAUAAAUUACCCAUAGUAUCUCUCAUAUGCCCACUAACGUCCACAGAAGAGACUAAAAAUGUGUUCCAAUGAACUAUCUGAUAGGUUGCUAAAUAUUUUAUGGAUUAUUUUGAAGUUUAGUUUUCUGAGAUUGCAAAUUUAAAAAUUUUUAGGCUUUAAUCUUUGAAUCACAAAUUAUUCUAACAUAAUGUACCUUAUCUAGGAAAGGAAGAAAAUGUUGUUUGUUUUUACUUUCUUUUUAUAUAAAAGCUGCAUAUAUAAACCUAAAUUUCUUGUUGGUUCCUUAAUAAAAUUGUGUCUCUCUGGGGUGAUAACAGAUAGGUCUCAAAAUACAUAGCAAAUUAUAGGCCAUCAGCGAAAGCCUCUCUUUAAAGCUUUACUUGAACAAAUAAUGGGUAAAAGGAUACGUUCUCCAGAUGAAUAUGAUAGAUCACAGUGCUUUGGUUAACUGACUUUAUAACUUUGGAGAGACAGAUCUGGUUGGCUAGAAACACUAAUAGAUAGGAACAUAAUUAUCACAUAAAACCUAUAAAACUCAAAAUGAGUUGAUCUUAAUAUUGCUGUCCCUCCAUGGCCAGUAAGCAAACCUCCAUUUUACCAGAGGAAUACAGAAUAAAGCCAUCUGGAUUAUUGGAGAAAAGAGCAUUCAAAUGACUUAGAUUAACCCAAGCCUUAUUUUCUGAGGGAAUAGCUCCAACCAUCCAGCUAAAAAGGAUGUCAAUUUAGAACUCAGUUUGAUGUAAAGGGAUAGAAAAGAUUAAGAUAAUUAAUUGGCAUCUGACCAUGUUUAAAGAGUGGGAAGGUUUAGGAUGGAAAACAAUCUCAGUAAAUUGCAUUAUAAUUAUAAGAAGAAAACAGGGUCUAUCUCAUCGCCUGCAGGGAGCCAGAAAUAGAGUCAGUGUAACUUUAUGAAGUGCUCAGAGUCUGCAAAACAUGAUUGCUGUUGCCAUCAGUUGAGAAAAAAGUGAUAUAUCAAGGAAGACUAUAAAUCUAAUUUGUUAGACUAGAUACCCAUAAUAAAUGUAAAGCUAUAUAUUUGUCUCCUUAAAAAAAAGUCUCUCUGAUAGACUGUUUGCAAAAAAUAGCCAGACUUUCAAUUUCUGUACCCAAGCCCUUUUACAACUUGAGUUUGCACGUUCUCCCAUCAAGAAUGCCUAUUUAUCCGCCAAUUGAAUGUGGAAUAUCUAUGUCUUGAUUUGUCUAAAAGAAUGAGUCAGAUGUGACAUCAUGCCAGUCGACCUCACAAGGGCAUGCAAACUUCUACUUGUUCUGUUCGAUCCUCACUGUGCUAUGAGAACAAGACUUUCUGGAGUUGACGAUGAGAGACUUUUAUCAGAGUCCAGUUUUCCCAGUCAAGGCUUUGAAUAAGUGAGGACACUCAGCCAGCACCAAAACAAAACAAAACAAAACAGUAUGAGCUGAUCCGCAGGUGACAACUGAUAUGUCGGGAGCAUUGAGCUCCACAGAUAAUAAUGUAUACCAGCUCAGGCCAAAAUAACUGCCCAGUUGACCUGCAGACUGUGAGCUAAGAAACAGUUACAGUAUUAAACCAGAUUAUGGCCUCCAGUUCCAUCCAUGUUGCUGCAGAAGCUAUAAUUUUAUUCUUUUGAAUGCUUUAAGCGUUCCAAAUCAUUGAAUUACUGAGAAGAUUAAAUGAGGGUAAAACAAUCCUUGAUACAUACCAACCAUCCAAUAAGAUUUGGCUGCAAUCACUACUUGUCAUCAUCAGUGACUGUAACAGAAGCAUGAAGACCAUAGCAAAGAGUCUGGAUACAGUGAAACAAGAAAUCGAGAGCCUUGUUAUUUCCUGCCUAAGUUCUUUCUGGCUGUAAGUCUCUGAUGUUGGCAAGUGACAGACCCCUAUGGCCAAUGAAUCACAACUUAAAUGAGUACCAAGUUCCCAGCUGAUAUGUGAAAAGGAGCUCAGUGAGAGGUACUUAUGUCCUUUGUGUACUUAAAAUAUUGCCCUUAAUGAAUAAGUCCGUGUGUUCAUUUUUAUUACAAAAGUAGCAGACCUAUCUUACUUUCAAUAUUACAAGGACAAUGCUUGCAAAGAUGAACAAAGGACGUUUAAAGAUACAGGGUCUGAAAGCUUCCGAAAGCCACAUAGUGAGAGAUAUUAAAACAAGUUGAGAGAAUUUGAUGUCAAAGGCAAGAUCAUAUCUGAAGCAUUUCUCAACACUGUAUAAAAUGCAAAAACAAAGAGAAACAAAACUCCUUGGAGAAGUUUCUGCUCAAUACGCAAGCCACCGACCCUUAGCGAAUGUUCCCAAUAGCAAUCAAUGAGCCCCUAACAAGAGCUGGAAGGACUGGGGCAGUAGGAACAACACAGACCAUUUGCUCUGAUUCAACGAUUUUUAUGAGCACCAUUAAGUGAAAAUGGGCAAGUAACUCUGUGGCUCAGGGCAAAGCCCCCACAGCGAUGUGAUGAAAAAUCUUGGCAAGAACCCAUGAAAGAGAACCCUUCAAAUCAAAUCAAACAAAUGCGGAUCUACUAGGAGGAAGGGCCUUGUUUUUCAUUUAAAAUAAUCUUUUAAAGAGUAGACAAUAAUCCAAACACCUCUGGGUUACUAUAUCUUCUAGGAGAAUACUGAUUUUGAUAAAAAUAUUUAAAUCAAAAAUUUUAGGUAAUUUUACCUUCAAAUAGCUUAGGCACCUUAGACCAAAGUUUGCACAUUCUACAAAUAUUGACACAAUAACACCAUUUUAAAUCUUUACCCACCAUUUGUUGGGUUAUGUCAAAUGUAACUCAGGAUAAAAAGUUGUUCAGAUAAGUGAUUGGUACAAUUGGAAUUUAUAGAUUAAAAAUUUGUUACAAGGAAUUAAAAGUUUUUCUUACCUAACCUCUCAAUAAUUUUCCAAAGAAAAUGUGUGAUGUGUCCCUUGCUCUGCCCUUCACUCUAGUGUUUUAUUUUGCAUCAUGGAUGCAUUUCUUUUAAUUUUCUUCAUAUAACUCUUCACAUGUACUCUUGAGAUUGCAUAUUGCUUCAACAAUCCUUGCCCAGCCACUAACUUCUUUCUUAAAAUAAUUUUCCUGCCCCCCUUCCUUCAACAGUAAUCAAUGUCUACCACCGCCUCUAUUAAUUCUGCCACUGAUUUUGUGAUAACUCUUCACAAAUACUGAAUGAUGUAACUUGAAGGCAGUUUUUGUUGUCUGAAUCUGCUUGAUGCCAGCUUAUGGUUGGCUAUAAUGCUCAGAAAUAGAAGCAAUGAUUAGACAAUACAAAGAGAUACUAGUUUAAUGUAAGGAAGAAUAUUUUCAUCCUUAUCACUUACUGUAUUUACUUUAUAUUCCACAUUACAAGGAGCCACUUCAACAUGAACACCAAGCCAUCUUAAGUUUAUUAAGAUCCUAAUAAUGUUUAAGCAUUGGUUAUGUGAAUAUAGAAUGAUGAUCCCACUUUGGAUUUUACAUUCAAGUAUAAGAAAUAUCUAUUAAUCAACUUCUUUCAGGAGUGUUACAGAUGGUAGAGUCUGUUUCAACUUUGGGUGCAGGGCUUAACACAUUCUUUAACACAAUAAAUCAACAUUACUGAGAAACAAAGUAAUUAUAAGAACUCUUCUAAUUCUAGGAAUCAAUGAUUUUAUAUCAAUCAUAUGGAAAGAGGUAAAAGUGCAUGCUUCAUGUUAUGUUACUUUCUUUUGCUUGAGAAUGCUAAAUUUGUAAAACUAUAUAAUAUGACAUACUUGUGACUGAAUUGUAAGAGAUUUUAUCUAAUAUUGCUUUAGAAUACAGAAGUAAUUGUUUCAAAGGAUAAAGGAUGGAAGAUUCUGAUAAAGCUUGCUUACUUUUUGGGGGAAGGCGUGGGGGGAAAUGUCUCAGUGCCCAAGGUCAGUGGCCUUCCUGACUGAAGACUUUCCCAGAGUAGAGGAUAAGAGUGGGAACAGGAAGAGCAGUUUAAAGUCAUCUUCACAACAUUCUGGUGAGUGACUGAUUGCUUCAGCAGCAAACAGGCACAUGGUAAAAAUAUUGGUAAUGUGAAUUUAGUGUUGUUACUGUCAUUUUUUUCUUUAUUAACUAUGAUUUUGCUUACAGAUAGCAGUCAGAGUAGUAGUAUAUUGAUAAUAAUGAACCUCUUAGGGUUGCUGGUUUGGUGUUUCAAAGUUUUUCAGUUAUCCAUAUUAAACUUUUAAAGAUA